rnacentral:rRNA from 1 species
CGCCCUUGGGUUCGAUUCCGGAGAGGGAGCCUUAAAAACGGCUACCACAUCUAAGGAAGGCAGCAGGCACGCAAAUUACCCAAUGACCGAAGGUCGAGGUAGUGACAAAAAAUAACGAUACGGGACUCAUCUGAGGCCCCGUAAUCGGAAUGAGUACACUUUAAAACCGUCCCCGAGGAUCUAUUGGAGGGCAAGUCUGGUGCCAGCAGCCGCGGUAAUUCCAGCUCCAAUAGCGUAUAUUAAAGUUGUUGUGGUUAAAAAGCUCGUAGUUGGAUCUCGGCGGUCUGAGGGCGGUUCGCUUGAUUGAGUGCUACUGCUCUAUAGGCCGUGGUUUUGCCAGAGGUCUCGGGGUGCUCUUAACCGAGUGUCCUGCGAUGCUGGCAGGUUUACUUUGAAAAAAUUAGAGUGCUCAAAGCAGGCUUUUACGCCUGAAUAUUCGUGCAUGGAAUAAUAGAAUAGGAAGUCGUUUCUAUUUUGUUGGUUUUCGGAAAUCGACUUAAUGAUUAAUAGGGACAGUCGGGGGCAUUUGUAUUCAAACGACAGAGGUGAAAUUCUUGGACCGUUUGAAGACAAACUACUGCGAAAGCAUUUGCCAAGAAUGUUUUCAUUAAUCAAGAACGAAAGUUAGAGGUUCGAAGGCGAUUAGAUACCGCCCUAGUUCUAACCAUAAACGAUGCCAGCUAGCGAUCUGCCGACGUUUUCUUUGUAGACUCGGCAGGAAGCUUCCGGGAAACCAAAGCAUUUGGGUUCCAGGGGAAGUAUGGUUGCAAAGCUGAAACUUA